rnacentral:lncRNA from 1 species
CCCAGUUCAGUCAACGCUUUGACGUGCUUGAUAGCCUCAAACUCGGAGAAUCCUCUUUUGCCGGCCUGGUCAGCGGUGAGAGGAGGAGGCAUAUGCUCGUAUUGAUAGUAGUAAACGCCGUAAGUGGCGUAGACGAAGGCCGCAAACUCAACCAUGGUCAGCGGUGAGAGGAGGAGGCAUAUGCUCGUAUUGAUAGUAGUAAACGCCGUAAGUGGCGUAGACGAAGGCCGCAAACGCAACCGUCCAUGCGAGCCCCGAUCGCUUGGCGCUUCUCACGUCAACUGUCAAUACUGCAUCGCCAUCGGUGAAGGAUGGAUGGUGGCUGUUGGUGGAGAGACGGAGGGAGGAGGUGCUGAUUCUGAAACUUGUCGCGAAUUCGCGAUUUAGGGUUGGCCGGUUGGGUUUGGGGGAAAUUGGGCAAAGGAAAAUGUAAUUUUUGUUUUUAUAUUUUCCUUUUUUUUUUUACUUAAUAAAAAAGCGGGCACGGGUCCGGGUUCCGGGUUUUUGGUGUUGUGACCGGACCCGUGCCCGGAAACAGCCGGGUAUUGAAAAUCAAUGCCCGGAACCGCUUUUUUUAUGCAUCCGGUCCGGGUUUUACCCGGACCGGAUGUGCCGGGUCCGGUCCGGGCGGGCUUUUCUGCCAUCUCUA